rnacentral:lncRNA from 1 species
GGCCUUCCUCUCCUGGAGGGCUCUGCCCGAGGUCUUGUGGUGCUUGUUCUCUUCCCAGCCAUCGCAGGUUAUACUUCGGGCCCCACGGUGGGCGCCAAUGUUGGGGAGAUGCCCUCCGCACUCCCCAGCAGUACGGUGAAUCGUGGACCUUCUCACUCGGUGCCGUGAGAGGUUUGAGCUCCAACGGACAGUAGGCUCAAUAGUAGGUGAAAACAGUGAAUGCUCUCUCUCUUUAUUAAUGGCGGUAUCGCGCCCCUUAUAUAGGGCCUAGAAACCGACCUAAUGACAUUUACAUAAAUGCCCCGUGGCGGUGGGGGAAUAUCCCGGUAUAUUCUUUCAUCGCAGUCUACUGACCCUAAUACACCUGCGUAAUUUCACAUUGCAAGCCCUUCGUUCAUCCUCUGACUGGGGCCUCAGCUGGUCGGAGGCUUGGAUCCUCCGCCCAGUUGCGGAUCCUCCGACGCUUUGGUGUCGGAGGUUCCUCAGCCCGGCUAGGCCGGAGGUUGCUCGACCCGGCCACCCCGGGAGCUCCUCCUUAGCCUGGUCCAGUCGGAGGUUCCUCGGCCUGGCUGCGUUCUCCCGCCAUCCUCGGACCCGGGAGGGUCGGAGGUUCCCACCUUUCCUCGCUCGUGGACCUCCGCCGGUGUCUCAGUCCCUGCACACACUUAGCACGACCAGACGAGUCGUCAACAUUAGCAUUUUCCGAUGAAGGAUAUCCUCCGACGCUUCAGGCGUCGGAGGUUCCUCAGGUGAAGGAUAACCUCCGACGCUGCCGGGGGGAAGGAUGCAGCUGUUCCCCAACAAGAAGUACAUAAAAAUCCUCAGGCUAAUAAUAAUAAAACCUCAUGCUAAAAAUAGAAUACCUUUGUAACAAGGUGUGCUUAACCCAUACAUACAUACUAGGGCAUAUUGCCAGAAGUCUGAAGUUUUUUCCCUUUUCACUUUCUUACCUUUCCGAAUGGAGAAACAAGAUGCUGUAGAGCUAUGAUCCUGUCCACGAGCCUUUCCCUCCUCAACUAGCAAAAGUAAUUUUGGAGAAAUGAUUAAUUAGCAAAACAAGAACAAGUAUUAUUUUUCUGAACCAACACAGUGAUGCUACAUUACAUGCUACACUACACGUUGUCGAUGUUGCAAACUUUCAAAAAAUAAAUAAUAUUUAGUAGGUCUGUGUAUGUUGGCUGAUAUAUAACUAGGCAGAGCAAAAGCACUUGAGAAGGAAACACAUGAGCAUAAAAACUUCGUUGAUUUCAUUAUCUGCUGAAAAAUACAAAAUGCAAUGACAAUGAAACGACGCCAAGCUGCAUGCAUCACAGAAAAUGGUUCACCAAAUGUCAGUUCUUACACCAAGAAAACAGACAGGCUGUGUUAAACAUGGUAGAGCAAGAACACCAUGGUGACCCGAGAAACAAAACAGCGGAAGAUGCUCACCGAGAAGAGGCCGACCACGAGCACAGCGAGCCCGCGAUUCCACCAAACCGGAGCUCAGCGGAGAACGUCGAGCAAUGAGACAUGAUCUGCAGGGUUUGAGGGGGGAAAAAAAAAAGAGACCCCACCGAGACAAGAUUUGCAGGAUUUGAGGGGGAAAAAACCCUAGAGAAAGAAGAGAAGAGACGUACGAAGAAAGAGAAUACGUGAGGGACGGUGGUGCUCACCGGACCGGAGUAGUCUGGAUGGCUGUUGGUGGCCACUUCACCGUAGAGGUCGGCGAAGAGGUCGGGGGUGCCGGAGUAGGAGAUGCUGCUGGUGGCGGUGGCGGUGGCGAUGACGGUGGCAAGCGACAGCCGCCAGGGGAUGGGGGUGGCGGCGCGAGGUGCAGGGCGAGAGAGAGAGAGAGAGACGGGAGAUCCACGGACCGGGGGGAAUCAGGAUUCAGAUCUUCUAACGUUGCCUUGCCUCCUGAACUUUCUUCUGCAGUUUUGACAAAUCCGACCACUCAUACGCAUCCGACGGUGAGCAGAGUAUAUGCACUGCGCUCUUUAAUUUCUGUAUCAUGGUGCUGCUCGGUCAAGCUAAUUUGAUUCUCGUGUCCUCUCUCAUCUGAUUGUGCUGACAUGAUAGAUUUAGGAAAUCUGGGAUAGAAUUCUGCAUCAAAACAAAAUCAUCAAAUUUAAGAUGGAAGCUUGACGGAAACAAAAUCUUGGAUUUACAUUUUACAAUGGACGAAAAUAGCUAGGGUAUGUUCCUUUUUUCUCCAUCGAUUAGAUGUUCAGUCCAUGAAAACAUUUCGCUGGGCGAUGGGUUCAUCCCUCGGCCACUGCGCCCCUACACUCGAUGGCUGACAAAAGGUCUCCGGGCGCAUCUCUCGGCUCCUCGCGUUCACGUAGCGAUCAGCGGGACAGCGGCUCGGCUCGGCUCCACGUUGAGUCCACGACGCAUGCCGAUUUCGCCAUGGACACUUCGAGAUGGCCCUACAGUCUGACGUCCAGGCCCUGGAGCCGCUCGCUAGCCCAGUAGUACACACGCGGAACACGCCAGUGAAGUUGUGGAUGAAUGUGUCGAACAAGAGCACUCGCCCUCUGGUGGUGCCGCCGCCCUCAAGGUACAGGCCGAAGCAGAACCCGCAGGCAUCGAGGGGGCCGUAGACCGGCAGCUUCGUGGCGUUCUACAGCUGCGCCAACAAUGCGAUGUGCCGCCGGUACGUCGGCGUCUAGCUAGUAUACCACUGCAGAGGUGAGUCAUGAUUUACUCUUUCGUCCGAGGUAACUAAUCUCUUAACCCCUUCCUAAGGAGGUCGACAGGGUUCACUAUGAAGCCUUUCAAAAGUUCGUCUAAUAAGUUAGGGCCAUUAUAUUCACUCGGCACUCGGCAGCCCCCUUCCAUGGCACAUAACACGUAGCCUAUACACAUGGAUAGAGAGGUCGCACUAUACCCUACGUGUCUAGUCAUUCUUACGCCAUUUAAAGUAACCGCUAACAAGCUAGAAAAAAUGCUGAGAAGUUCGAUUGAUGGAAGAUGAACUCAAAGGAACGAUUUGGAGCAGAAUUUAGGGAUCUUGUAAAACUCUAAAUGAAAGAUUAAAAUUGAGAAGGUCGGAACUUGAUUAAUAAAACGAUAGAGAUACACCGGAGAAAGACCAACGACCUACUCAAUGCCUUUUGAUGUUUUACUCACUCACCACACAAAGUCAUGCAACAAGCAAGCAUAUCACAUCACAUCACAUCAAAAAAACCCAUCAAGUUAAUUUGGAUUUUGGAAUAAUUUGAAAAUUGAUAUUUUCCUAUAACUAAAUUUGCACUAACUUAAAUUAAACUUGGUAUAAAUUUUAUCCAAAUAUCAAAAUAUUUUAUUUUUGUUAAUGUUGUCUAAGCACAGCCCAAAAUUAAAAAUUUUAGGGUGUGACACAAUGUAAAAGAAACGUGAGCGAAGGUCUCCAGUUGUUGGGAGUCAAUGGGCCGGCUGAGCGAACGCGGGUUGAACUUGAACAGGCACAGGGAAGCUAAUUCUCCUCGCUUUACGUUUAUUCUUUUCAACGGAGAAUUAGUAUUUAGUCCCACAUUGUGGAUCUUAACACGAACGUUUCGCUUCAUAAGGGUCCAGUCUAGAAGCGUUGCGUGCUUGUCUAAGCACACCUACCCAGCCCAUGUUGCUGUGGUUUGUUUGUGUGCGGUAUGCACACUAUAAAAAGCAACAAUCACCUACUUGAGAGAGAUGGUGCUGGUGUGUGACAUAUGCGCCUAGCAAUUUCGUUUUUUCAUUUUUACUCCCAUCUUCAUUUUUUUAUCAUCACCUCCUUGAGAGAUGGUGCUGACGCGUGUCAUAUUCGCCCAGCAAUUCCUUUUUUUGGUUAUUUUCAUUUCCAUCUUUAUUUAUCUCAUUUUACAAUUUUUUACUUCUAUAAUGAAAAGUGCAUAUUCUUUGAAUUUUACUUCCUACAAUACAUUUGCGUGCACACCUUUUUUUUGUAUUUAUUUAUUUAUGAUCUAGACUUAUGAUCCAUGCUCAUAUGACACUACUAUAUAUGAGUUACAAUAAUGUUCGUCCAUCGCGAUAAAAAAAAAAAAAACUCAAAACCGUUAAUUAAAGAAGCGUAACGACGUCCAAAGACACCACCGAUGUCGAGAUCGAGACCGGCAAGGUCAGGUUUUUGCUAGCACCCCACGCACCGCCCAUGUGCAAAAGAUAGUCUGUGUCACCGGUAAGGCUUUUGCUUGGUGAAUUUCGCACAAGGGCACUUGGAUGCGAAGGUCAUUGACGUGCUUCCUAUAUAGCGCCGCCAUGACUCCAAGUGCCCGGCUUCCUCCUCCACGCGGCAACGUGUACCACCAUCACCUACCUUGAGGUAUUAGUGCCAAGAAAAAGUUGUCGACGACCCUGCCCCCAUCUGCUAACUUAGAUCGAUGAUCCCAACUUUUCACUCUGACAUUAUACUACUCUAGUUCGGCAUCCGCAGUGAUGCUAACCAUUCCCUCCAUUUUAAAUUAUAAGACAUUUCAAUAAUAUUGUAGAGUAAAAGUAGUUCAAGUUUGACCAAAAUUAUAAAGAGAAUAUUACUAGUUGGUAUAGAAAAUAUUAUUAUUCUAUUACAUAAAUUUUGGUCAAAUUUGAGAUGUUUUGACUUUCUAAGAUUCUUAAUUUGGAAUGAAGAGAGUACGUAGUUAGCUUACGUGGAGAUGAGAGAAAAAAAACAAAGACUAUUUUAUACAAUCUUAUUUUAUAUGUACUAUUGAACUCACAUGUCAAUCUCUCACAUAGUCACAUUCUUGGACUGCAUGAAAUAAUUAGGCUAUCCGAUUUAAACCCACGCCUAACCAUUCGUGAUGAGCUCAAUCUUAAAAACCCACUCAAUCCACCAACUAGAUUAUUCCAACCACACCAAUCCAGUCCGCUGUGCUAUGUGAACCCAAGCUCGUGUGCGGGCUGAGCUUGCAGCCAACAAGCAAACACAUUGCUGUAUUUUUGGACUAAGCAGAAGGCAGCAGCAGCCUAGUCGAUACAUCCGGGGUCCGUGGCCUGUGGGCUUCAUGAUGGCUUGGAAUCGGAUCAGAACCCAUGGCCUGCCCGUGCCGUCGUAACCUCAAGAGGAAGAGGACGAGCAAUGAGGCGACGACAUCGUCAGAGGGUGGUGACCACGUCGACGUCGAUGACCGGAUGAAGAGGAAAAGUAAGAAGCCCGAGGCAGCGGAAGAGGAGGCCCAGCCAGCGGUCUGCGCCGGGAAGAAGAAGACCGACGAGAAGAGGAAGAGGGUGGUUACUGAGAGGCUUCCACUACCGCACAUUAGCUUUUUAAGGGCGGCUUUAGGGGCGGUUUGGCCAGCCGCCCCUACCAAAAUGUUUUCUAUAAAUGCUUUAAUUUUAGGGGCGGUUAAUAUUGAGUUGUCUUUAAAAAAAUAUUUUCAAAAUCGCAAUUUCAGACUUUAAAGAAAUACCAAAAUAUUGAAAAAAAUAAUAAUUUUAAGGAGGGCAUAUCACCAUUGAGUACGCAGUGGCAGCAGCUCGCUAAGGCACGAUCUUGUCCUCACGCAUUAGGCCUUGUUUAGAUGCGAAUUUUUUUUAGAUUUCGCUACUUAGCAUUUUCGUUUGUUUGUGGUAAAUAUUGUCUAAUCAUAGACUAACUAGGGUCAAAAGAUUUGUCUCGCGAUUUACAGGCAAACUGUGUAAUUAGUUUUUGUUUUCGUUUAUAUUUAGUGCUUAAUGCAUGUUCCGUAAGAUUCGAUAUGACGGGGAAUCUUGAAAACUUUUUUGAUUUUGGUGGAAACUAAACAAGGCCUUACUCUCACUACCACCCCACCACUAGCACAUGUGUCCAUAAUCUAUUUUGGUUCCUCAUAAAUUAUGCUCAAUUGAGUGUAAAUUGACUUUUUGAGGCCCUAAAUAAAUUUAAAUGAAAAACUUGUCAACUAUAAAGUUUCAUAAUUUUUUGAGAUCUACAACUUCUAUUUAGGUAGUUUCUCGAUCCGAGAUCAUUUAUAAAAUUUGAAUUUGAAAUUUUAAAAAUUCAAACAUAGUUUUGCAUGACAAAAUGAUUUCAAAUCAAAACGUUGUCAACUACAAAGUUUCAUAACUUUUUGAGAUCUACAACUUUUAUUUAUGUAGUUUCACCAUCCGAGGUAGUUUACAAAAUGUGAAUUUUCAAAUUUAAAACAUUCAAACAUACUUUUGUGUGAUAAAGUUUCAAAUCAAAAAGUUGUCAACUACAAAGUUUCAGAACAUUUUGAGAUCUAUAAUUGUUAUUUUGGUUGUUUUGUCAUCCGAGGUCAUUUGAAAAAUUCAAAUUUAAAAAUUUAAAAAUUCAAAGGUAGUUUUGUAUGAUAAAAUGAUCUCAAAUCAAAAAGUUACCAGCUAUAAAAUUUCAUAAUUUCUCAAGAUUUAGAAUUUUAUUUUGAUCAUUUGUUUAUCCAACACAGUGGUAGUAACAUUGCUCACAAAUCUUAGAUAUCUUAUAUAUCUCUGUUGUAGUUUCAUAAACACUACAAGCGAGAUAUAAGAUUUAUGAAUAAUGUUAAUUUUAUUUUAUAUAUGAAAAAAUGACUAAAACAAAAAUUAUACAUCUUGAUAAGUUAUACAACUUUUAUUCAUGACUUAUUUAGCCGAAAACGUUUUAUAUCCUCGGCUAGCUACCGGAUGCACAGUGAGUGGUAGCAGCCGUGCGGAAGGAUUAAAAAAUGGCCGCAUGUAACUAAGUCAACAAGAAAUCAAGAAUCGAUUUUUUACUUUUUUUUAGCAAAUCAGAAUUUUUAUUACUUACGUACCUACGAGUUAGAGUUAAAGGUCAAACCGUGUAAAUGAGGGGAGAUUUAUAUUUUUAUCAUUAUAAAGAAUGUCGUUCAAACGAAUACCAUUUUUAAAAUGUUUGUGCCUGUGCGUGUGCUCGUGCCUGGCACUACAGGAAAAUCCUACUUUGCCGAGAGCCGUGAAACAGACGCUCGGCAAAGACGGACCUUUGCCGAGCGCCAGGUCCGACGCUCGGCAAAAGCCUCUUUGCCGAGGGCCAAAAGCUGGCUGUCGGCAAAGGCCUCGUUUGCCGAGAGUAGCGCGCUCGGCAAAGAAGAGCUCUCGGCAAAGUCCCUGGCCGUCUAACGGCAGCAGCUGCCGUCCCCUUUGCCGAGCACCAAAAGUUAGGCACUCGGCAAAGGAUGGUUCUUUGCCGAGUGACAGCUUGCAGGGCCCUCGGCAAAUCCUUCUUUGCCGAGUGUCCUAUCUGGCUCUCGUCAAAGCUUUUUUAUUUUUUGUUUUUUCGAUCUGAGUUUUUUUUGAAGCUUUUUGACACUGUUUCAAACUCUAUUUUAAAGUUUGAGAGAACUUUGACUUUUUUUUGCUAUAUUUGACUGAUUUAAUUUGUUUCUUUGUGUUUUUCCGGAUAAUUUAAAUUUGAACUACACGUACAUGAAAUAUCGCAACGCAGUGUUUCAAAAAAUGAUAUUCAUGGUAUUAUGUAUAUUCUGAGUCCGUAUCUAGGACCUCACACGAAUGCCGACAGCGGUUAUUUAAAAUCAUAUUUCUGGCGGACCGGCUGCUCGUGCCUGUGCCUGUGCCUGUGCCUGGAGCCACUAAUGCCCGUGCUCGCAAACAGGAGUGAGCGCCACCACCGGGUGCGGCGGAGCUGCUUGUGUUGGAGGUAGAAGAUGAAGCUCACAAAUGGGACCCACCUUACAGUGAGAGGAGCUGCGAGACCUGGCUGUCGGAGAGCGAGAGAGAGAAAAGCAAGUAGGGGUAGGAUGGACUUUUGACAUGCCCUGACCGACGUGUCAAGCUAGUGUGACGUGCCACAUAUGCAAAGAUAGAAAUUUUGAUGUUCAAACUUCUCUCGGCAAUUUUGUAAUUGCCAUUCUAAGGCCUUGUUUAGUUUUAAAAAAUUUUACAAAUUUUUUUUCAGAUUUUAUAUCACAUCGAAUCUUUGCGACAUAUCUAUGAAACAUUAAAUAUAGAUAAAAGAAAUAAAUAUAAUUAAUUACACCUGUAAUUUGCGAGACAAAUUUUUUGAAUCUAGUUAGUCCAUAAUUGGACAAUAUUUGUUAAAUACAAAGAAAGAUGCUACAUUGUCCAUUUUAAAAAAAAAAAUGGAAUAAGGAUGAUAGUCGGAUGAUUGGCAAUGGUAAAUAUGUAAAUUUCUGUAUCCGAUUCCGAUAGCGCCUAGGGUUGCCCGGCAGAGCCUCUGCGGGGCAAUAUAUGCAUACUUUAUAUACGUAUAUGUCUCUCACUCACCUUCCGUGUCCAAAGCCGCCGACAGUCGCCGCAUCCCCGCAAUCCAGAUAUAGAUCCCCUUUUUGCUUCGAGACGAGAGGUCGGGGAGAGAGGUUAGGACUCGAUCGAUCGCGGCUGCUACGAUGGCGGGCAGUGACCGAGAUCUCAAGAUUGAGGCUGCUGCGAUUGGGGAUGGUGUCCGCGAUCUCAUGAUUGAGGCUGCUGCGAUGAGGGGAGGUUUCAAUAUGGGGCCUGCUGCGGUGGGGGGAGGUGACCGAGGUCUCAAGAUGAAGAAGAAGCCGAUACGACCGGAGGAGGGUGGGAUCUUGAGGCUGAAGAAGGAGGCGAAGGCGGCGUGGGAUCACUGGUUCCUGACUCGCAGGAAGUUGAGGAAGGCCGCGCAGCCGCAGGAGGAGGACACGCAGGCACCCAGGGUGGGGAAUAAGAGGAAGAAGGUUGUCAAGAUCAAGCUGCCUAAGGAGUACGUCGAUCACAUGGCCGCAUGUCCCUUCACGAUCUGCGCAGACUUCUCUGACGAGGAGCUUGCCCGGCGUACCCCAGAGUUCCGCGAAAUCUACGCUGCUGGGAGGUUUCUCGAGACCAAGAAUCGUGAGUACUGGAAUGCCCUUAUCGCUCAGUACAAUGAAUUGGGCUAUGCUGAGGAUGAGAAUGAGGUCACGGAUGAUGAUGAUGAUGAUGAGGAGGAGGAGGAGGUGGUGAAGAAUUAGCGCAGGAAGCAAAAAGGGUUCUAUAGUUUAUAUAUAAUUUAAGUAGUCUGUGACUCUCUGUUCGUGCAAGAUAUAGCCUAAGUUAAGAGCAGUGUUGUUUUCUGUGUGACUCACCAUAAGUGUCUGCUCAUUACUAUGAUGUAAUCAUCACUGUGGUGUUAUUUAUAUUCCCAGUGUUAUUAUCACACCUUGCAAUUUGUGAAUUCGUGUAUGCUAGAAUGCUGGUUUAUAAUUCUUGCUGUUAUACUCCUAUAUUUUGCUCUUAGCUGUCUAGUAAUAUUUUAUUUGGUAGUAUGUCUAGCUCUGAACAAUUUUCUGUUUAGUCACUCAAAGCAAAAGCAUAUAAAUGAUAAGAAAUGCAUGGCAGCUCAGCUACUAAGUAUUGCAACUGUGUUAACUGACCAUAGGGAUUUUGCUGGCCAAGCUAAUCCAACAGACCUGCUACAGAUUUUUUUUUCUUGUUAUAUGUACUUAUUCUGCUGUUUCUGUUGAGU